GUGGAUUAGAUACCCUGGUAGUCCACGCCCUAAACUAUGUCAACUGGUUGUCGGGGAAGCAAUUCCUUGGUAACGAAGCUAACGCGUGAAGUUGACCGCCUGGGGAGUACGGCCGCAAGGUUAAAACUCAAAGGAAUUGACGGGGACCCGCACAAGCGGUGGAUUAUGUGGAUUAAUUCGAUGCAACGCGAAAAACCUUACCUACCCUUGACAUGUACGGAACCUCGCAGAGAUGUGAGGGUGCCCGAAAGGGAACCGUAACACAGGUGCUGCACGGCCGUCGACAGCU
rnacentral:rRNA from 1 species